CCUGUACCCCACAUGCCCUGAGUUCAAUUGGAGUAACUUCUUUAGUCCGAACUUACUGCGAUCUCUUGCCAGUUUGUUUUUUAGUCUCUGUCUAUCCUGCUCGUACCUAGGACAACUGAUAAUUACAUGUUCUACAGUUUCCUUUAUGUUACAGUACUCACACAUACCAGUGCCAUGUUUACCAGUUAUCUUCAGUGUACUAUUAAGACCAGUAUGCCCAAACCUCAUCCUUGAUAUAAUGUCUUCUUCUUUUUUUGAUCUACUGGUUUCCCUCAUUUCUCCCACUUUCUUUUGGAUACUAUAGUAACGUCUACCUUUCGUUUCCCUCUUCCAAAUUUCCUGCCAUUUCUUUUUCAUUUCUACCUUAAUUAUGCUUUUAACUUCAGCUUUACUAUAACUUACUGUCAUAUUUACUUCUACUUUCUUAGUUGCAUCUUUUGCAUACUUGUCUGCCAGUUCAUUUCCCUCUACCCCUAUAUGUGCUUGAACCACAUUGCAUGUGUCUUGAUAGCUAACUUAACUCAUCUUAACUUAUCUUCGACGACGACGAUUAUAAGAAAAUAAGACUUCCGGACUAUUCCUUCAAAAUAAAAGCGUAGCAUACAUGAAAUCCAUGAUAUUGAAAUCUGACAACUCUCUGUAUGUAGGAGGCCGUUCCACAGGGUUUUGAAUACAUCUGAUGAAGGUGAUUGCUGUCACAGUCAGUUGUUCGGCAGCACAAUUUGCAUUUGAAAUAAAUCUGCCUGUGACACAACCCUCACUGCACAAACCACCUCUGUCUAGUCUCAGACGAGCUGCCUUGCAUCAUCUUGAGCGCUGUGGAAUCCUCAACAAACAAAAGACUAGCUUGGUGCAACAACUGAUGCCUAAUGUCAGACAAUUAUUGCUAGAUUGGAAUUUCUGCCGUAUAAAUGGAUCGUGCACAUAAUAUAUCACUCCCACCCUCUUGCACCGAUCUAACAAUAAUCAUUCAGACACUACCAAUAACUACGCAUUAUUUAAGUGCCAGGAGAUGCAAAACAUCUGGGUAACAAUAAUACGGAUCUCUACCUCUACCUCUUUACUCAUGUCUUUGUAUCUUGGGUUUGUCUCUUGAUAAUCUGAAACCAUCAAGACCAGUGUCUCCUAACCUUUUUGACUUGUGUGACCCUAUGAAACAACACCAAGUCAACUCAUGACUCCUCAUUUGAGUUGUGAGCACUUGAAGCCAGUGAGAGUGUGAUUUUAACCUUCUCAGAUUGUUUAAUUUGAUCAUUUUUUAGAGGCUAGAAGAGGUAAAACUAUCCAGUAUUUUACAAGAGAAGAGCACAGAUACAUGCAUUAAAACUGAGUAUCAUUUUAUAGAGCAGGAAAUCAUCUUGUGACUCCCCCUGGGGUUUCUAACCCCCAGGUUGGAAGCCACGGAUCAAGAUUGAAAAUUUGUUAAAAUUAGUUGAAUUGGAUUGUCAUUCAAAAAAAAUGAAGUGCCAACUGUUAGCUGAAGAGCCACUUCAGUUGCCUGGCCGUGAAAAAACGAACAUACUCAAAUUCAUGGUGUCCACAUUCAUAAAUAUAUAGGGACACUUCAUGCAUUUUUUUGGAAAAUAAGUUACCAAAUCAAUUCUGUACUUUUUGAUAAAGAAACAGCUUUUGUAUGACAGUGAAUUAAAGCUGCAGCUAAGAAUGAUUUUCAUUAUCAAUUAGUCUGUUUAGUCUAUAAAAUUGUUAUAAAAUGUGAAAAUUGCACUGUGAAGUUAGCUCUCCUGUGGAGAAAUUACAGAGGUGGAGAGGCGGUCUGUAGUGUCCAAAGAAAAGUAGAACUCCCUUUAAAAUGUAAUAUUUUUUAAUACAGAAGUCCGGUCAUGAAAACAACCUUAAAAAGCCCUUUAUACUUCUGAGGGGUUUCACACAGCACGUGUGCUUUGCACCUGUGUCAGGGUGACUGAGAAUGACGUGGACAAAGAGCUGUUGCACUAUGAGGAGGAUGCAGUGGAGGCUGCGGGGGUCGGGAUGUUGGAGAUGCAGGUGACAGGUCGAUAAGGAAGGAGAGAAUGAAGGGCUCCUAUGUGUCCAUUCACUCCUCUGGAUUCAGAGACUUCCUGCUAAAACCUGAACUGCUCAGAUCCAUAGUGGACUGUGGGUUUGAGUAUCCUUUUGAGGGUGAGUAGCUAGUGAAACACAAGAAAAUAUUUGAGGAUUUUAGAAUUCCAAUAAACUGAAAAGAGAAGUAGGCAGGUAUACAGUGCAUUCAGAAAGUAUUCAGACCCCUUCACCCUUUUUCACAUUUUGUUAUGUUGCAGCCUUAUGCUAAAAUCAUUUAAAAAAAUUUCCCCUCAUCAAUGUACACUCAAUACCCAAUAAUGACAAAGGGAAAACAGGAUUUUAGAAAUGUUUACAAUUUUAUUAUAAAGAAAAAACUGAAGUAUUCACACUGUUUGCUAUGACAAAUUUAGUUUGGAUGGCUCCCAUUUCUCUGAGAUGUUUCUACACCUUGAUUAGAGUCCAACUGUGGUAAAUUAAAUAAGUUGGGCAUGGGUUAGGGUUAGGGAAGUUUGGAACAACCAGGGGUGCAUCCCAAGUCUCUUAAUUGCAUCCAUGUUUCCCUCACUUGUGUCUUUUCCUUGCGUCUUUGUCCAGCAAACUGUGCGAGGAAACGAGGAAAUGUGUUUUUAGAGAAAUGAGACGUCCUUUCUUCUGAAGCGUCAAGUGAAGCGACGUCUGUUUCUGAUGACGGCAGCAGCUGAUCACAGCUGGAUCAGCUGUCAGUCGGCUUUAGCAGCUGUAGAGACUUGAUGGAGUUUGUGUCUGCACACGUGUGCUGUGCUCAUGCUAAUAAAAGGCACAUGGCUAAAUGUUUCAUGGAAAAUUUAAAUGAUGUAACAACGUCUCCUAACUGGAUGCGAGCGUCCAACAAUCGCUGCACGUCUGUUGUCAUGUAAACAAACCAUGUAGGCCUACCUACAUCAGCUGUGCGCUCGAGAUCAGACUGGAGACUCAAGUAAAGCAUGGUUUGUCUCACUACCAGCGGUUCAAGGACUUCCAGAGGAGAAUCUUGGUGGCUACAAACCUGUUUGGAAAAGGGAUGGGCAUCGAGAGAGUCAACAUCGCCUUUAAUUAUGACAUGCCAGAAGACUCCGACACCUACCUACACUGGGUUGCCUGGGCAGGCAGGUUUGGCACAAAGGGCCUGGCUAUCACAUUUGUGUCUGAUGAAAGCAUCACCUGCACACUUAACAACGUCCAGCGAGCUGCCAGACAAGAUCGACAUCUCCUCUUACAUAAGUUCUCAUUCACUCUUUGGAUUUAUUUGAAGUUUAUUCAAAGUUCCCCUUCAGUAACCUUUCCCAUGUGUGUGUCCCUGCAGUUGAACCAGCACGAUAGACGAGCCAGAUGCCACCCCGGGGCUCACAGUCACUUUGUAUUUGCAGUUUCACUCUGAUGGUAGAUGCAGACUGUCUUUAUAUAAAUCCUGGCAUGUCAGACAGCAGAUAUUUUCCUAACCUUGUGACAGUUGCUUUUGAAAGAAUGAAAGCAGAACAGUAGUGGUACAGCUCCCUCUGCAGGAAGAAAUCAGGACAGACUUUGUUUAAUAAUGUUUGUUUUAUUUCAAUUUAUAUCAGUAUUUGUUAAUGGAUAUUUCAUUUUCAUAUUGUGUUGUUUUAUGAAGGAUAGCUGGUUUUCUAGAUGUGCUAAGACUUUUUACCAGAGGUUGUGUAGCUCUAGGACUGACAGUUGAGAAGCAGACAUGACUAAACAUUGUUCACUGCUAUGUGGAUUAAUAAAUCUGGUUUUUGCCUGGUCAAGUCCCUCUCAUUCUUCACCUGCAUAUUCAAUAUUUUUCAAAUCCCACAAAAAUACCAAAAGCAACAAUGUGUUGUCUCACAAUACUUUCUGACAUCUCUACCCUGUCUGUGGCUCUCAGUUAAAACCCGUUGGUUUCUACAGAAGAUGUAAAUCUUUAAAAACACCUCACAAAUAUAUAGUUUCAUUUUUAAAAAAGGUUCAGUAAUUUCCUGGACACUAGCUUUUAUCAAAUGCCACUCAAACAGGAGGAAAUAGUGCAUUUGUUGGGGACUAUUUUCAGCGUUGGAUUAAUACACAUUCGGUGCUCUACUAUUUCCAGCUGAAGGGCAGUGUAUAUAGAAUACCACCAGUCUUAUCCUGUAGAAGUGUUGUAAAGCUUGGGAGAUAUAAAAUGCUGCUGUGCUGGAUUCAAACCUGGAAUGUUUUCUUCUUUAUGGCACGGUACGCUCGUUGGACCAGUGAGCCACGCUUGGUUUUAAACUGUAAAACAUUACUUGAAUAUUAGUCUUACCAAUAUAAUUUAGUCUUGCACGUGGAUGAUUCCCCACCAUUUGUGGGGGCCAAACGAGGUACUUUUUAACAUGUUUGUGAAACAGGAAGAGAGGAAGCAGAGAGAUAAGUGCUGAUCACAACUCACUUGGAUGACACACAACCACAUCUGUAUUUCUUUUUAAGAUCUCUUUGACGUGUCACUGCUUAGGUGAUGCUUGUCAACUCUUGGCUAACCUUUCACUGCCAACUGUGAACCUUUUGCUGUCAGUACAUACUGUAGUAUCUCCACCAGCUAGCCCUAUGCAACGUAGUGCCUCCUAGUGCUGUUUGAAUUCAAAAUUCAGUUUGCAGCAGGCCGUGCCUUGUGUUCAUAAAAUGUCUGGUUUCCAGAAAGUAGCAAGCCAUGCUGAGCAAAUAAUCACAACACCAAACCAUCUGAGAAGUAAUUUGAUGAAGCAGUUUGGACUUGAUAGAUGGAAGAAAUCGUGGAUAAAAGGUGAGGCUGUCUGCUGACUUUUAAAGAGUGACUUAACACCAGGCUGAUGUGUUUACUGCCCUCUCUGGCUCAAACUUUCAAGCCUGUUUCACCUCUGACCACAGCCACCAUCACAGAUGGAUAUGGUUGCGUGUGGUCAUAAGUGUGAUCUGAUGCACCUGUAACCACACCCUGAAGUGAUGUCACAGUGUCCUGGGGUACAUGUAUACAUCACUGCGGAAAGGUGAGAAGUUAAACCAAUGGAGGACAGCAAAAACAAGAUUUUCAGGAGAGUUAAGUAACUUUUUAAAAAUGCAACUUCCUUGCAGUAAUUUUAUUAAUAAAUCUGAAGUCACUUGUUAGCCUGAUAAUCAGACUAAAUUGCCAUUUUGUUAACUUUAAAUUGCUGAACAAAUCACUGCGAGGCAGCAGAGGCACGUGUGGUUUGGCCCAUAGACAUGUGGCAUUUACGGCCCACCAGCGUUUGGACGCCUUCGAGCCCAUGACCCAAUCUCACAGCUAUGGCUCAGUUAGCAGCAGUGCAUCAUGGUUAGGUCAGAGUAAAUCACAACAGAAAAUCUGGAGUUGGGACUCCAGAGGUGGUAGAACUGCAUACCGGCACCUUGGAUCAUCUCCUGCUGUCUUGACUUUGUCCUGCCACUGUAUAGAUCAGGACGAGAGUGUGGGGUUGAAUCUGUGCAGUUCUUCACUUUGAUCAAGGUUUUCUCAAACAGGUCACAUCUUCAAGGAUGCCAACAUUGCAGGAGUGAUUUUUGUGCUAAAGUAAGCCUCAUUAGUCACCUAC